ncrna:unclassified sequences S10-Clostridia ribosomal protein leader
GAUAUGCGAUGAUGCAGAAGGUGGCCGCCCCUUGAGGCGGGGAAUUUCUGCGGAGUAUGUCCGAUUUACAAACCGGGCGA